AACGAACGCUGGCGGCAGGCCUAACACAUGCAAGUCGAACGAGAAGCCACCUUCGGGUGGUGGACAGUGGCAGACGGGUGAGUAACGCGUGGGAACGUGCCUUUCGGUUCGGGACAACCCAGGGAAACUUGGGCUAAUACCGGAUACGCCCUUCGGGGAAGGAUUCAUUGCCGAAAGAUCGGCCCGCGUCGGAUUAGCUAGUUGGUGGGGUAAAAGGACCUACCAAGGCGACGAUCCGUAGCUGGUCUGAGAGGAUGACCAGCCACACUGGGACUGAGACACGGCCCAGACUCCUACGGGAGGCAGCAGUGGGGAAUAUUGGACAAUGGGCGAAAGCCUGAUCCAGCCAUGCCGCGU
rnacentral:rRNA from 1 species